UGCUCAACCAAUAGGAACUCGUGUGUCUGAUAUAUUUCCUCACUACGACCACACUCUUUACCACAAGACGGAUGCUUGCAAGUCAUAAACAUUUAUUAUUUGUGAUUUAAAAACGCACGAUGAUCUAAGCCACGUUACCACGUCUGGAAAACAGAAAAAAAAUGCUGAUUAACAUCCUGUUUUAAUUGAGUAUAAAGCGCGCUCACCUAUCGGUGAUGGGAUAUUACGAUAGCAAACACUGAAGGACAAGUUUGAUCAUGAAGACUGCUUGCCUAAUUGUUCUCUUGGUCACGUGCGUUUUGUUUGCCAGUAUGCCACAUGCUGAAGCCCAGAACAAUUACUUCCCACGUGGUGGUAAUAAUUGCGUGUGCAGAAAUCAGUGACACAGAGGAGAGUGGCAGGCAGGUAGAUGUUCUUGGAAUAGUAUCAGAUGUUGCAGCAGGGGUAACAUCCCCUAUUAGAAGUCAGCCGUCCAUAAGAAACCCAUGAAGUUGGAUUAUUGAGACAUCGAAUUAUACAAUAAAGUUCAACUUAUGUAGAGUUUUUGUUGUCACUCGAAUAUAACAGCUUCAUUUACAUUUUCAUUAUUACUUACAUGUAUUACGCUCUACGUGACGUGCUUCAACGUUCGUUUGCAAUUUAGAUCUAGCUGUGCUACAAA